UUGUGGCGGCGUGCUACCAUGCAGUCGACGCGAAAGGGGCUUCGGCCCUGAGUAGAGUGGCGAACGGGUGAGUAACGCGUGGGUGACCUACCUUCCAGUGGGGGAUAACGUUUCGAAAGGAACGCUAAUACCGCAUAACAUCCCGCCUUUAGACAGGCGGAGAUCAAAGCCGGGGACCGCAAGGCCUGGCGCUUGAAGAGGGGCCCGCGUCCGAUUAGCUAGUUGGUGGGGUAACGGCUCACCAAGGCGACGAUCGGUAGCCGGCCUGAGAGGGCGGACGGCCACACUGGGACUGAGACACGGCCCAGACUCCUACGGGAGGCAGCAGUGGGGAAUUGUUCGCAAUGGGCGCAAGCCUGACGACGCAACGCCGCGUGGAGGAUGAAGGUCUUCGGAUUGUAAACUCCUGUUGAUUGGGACGAAUGUCCCUGGGGCUAACACCACCAGGGAGUGACGGUACCGAUUGAGGAAGCCCCGGCUAACUCUGUGCCAGCAGCCGCGGUAAUACAGAGGGGGCGAGCGUUGUUCGGAAUUACUGGGCGUAAAGGGCGCGUAGGUGGCCACCUAAGUCAGACGUGAAAUCCCUCGGCUCAACCGGGGAACUGCGUCUGAUACUGGGUGGCUUGAAUCCGGGAGAGGGAUGUGGAAUUCCAGGUGUAGCGGUGAAAUGCGUAGAUAUCUGGAGGAACACCGGUGGCGAAGGCGGCAUCCUGGACCGGUAUUGACGCUGAGGCGCGAAAGCCAGGGGAGCAAACGGGAUUAGAUACCCCGGUAGUCCUGGCCCUAAACGAUGAAUGCUUGGUGUGGCGGGUAUCGAUCCCUGCCGUGCCGAAGCUAACGCAUUAAGCAUUCCGCCUGGGGAGUACGGCCGCAAGGCUAAAACUCAAAGGAAUUGACGG
rnacentral:rRNA from 1 species